GACGAACGCUGGCGGCGUGCUUAACACAUGCAAGUCGAACGGAAAGGCCCUUUCGGGGGUACUCGAGUGGCGAACGGGUGAGUAACACGUGGGCAACCUGCCCUCAGCUCUGGGAUAACUCCAAGAAAUUGGGGCUAAUACCGGAUAUGUCCGCUGACCGCAUGGUCUGGUGGUGGAAAGAUUUAUCGGCUGGGGAUGGGCCCGCGGCCUAUCAGCUUGUUGGUGGGGUAGUGGCCUACCAAGGCGACGACGGGUAGCCGGCCUGAGAGGGUGACCGGCCACACUGGGACUGAGACACGGCCCAGACUCCUACGGGAGGCAGCAGUGGGGAAUAUUGCGCAAUGGGCGAAAGCCUGACGCAGCGACGCCGCGUGGGGAUGACGGCCU
rnacentral:rRNA from 1 species